UCCAGACUCCUACGGGAGGCAGCAGUGGGGGAUAUUGCACAAUGGGGGGAACCCUGAUGCAGCGACGCCGCGUGGGUGAAGGAGCGUUUCGGCGCGUAAAGCCCUAUCGGCAGGGAAGAAGGAGGACGGUACCUGACUAAGAAGCCCCGGCUAACUACGUGCCAGCAGCCGCGGUAAUACGUAGGGGGCAAGCGUUAUCCGGAUUUACUGGGUGUAAAGGGGGCGCAGACGGCAGCGCAAGCCAGGAGUGAAAGCCCGGGGCCCAACCCCGGGACUGCUCUUGGAACUGCGCGGCUGGAGUGCAGGAGGGGCAGGCGGAAUUCCUGGUGUAGCGGUGAAAUGCGUAGAUAUCAGGAGGAACACCGGUGGCGAAGGCGGCCUGCUGGACUGCGACUGACGUUGAGGCCCGAAAGCGUGGGGAGCAAACAGGAUUAGAUACCCCCGUAG
rnacentral:rRNA from 1 species